UACGUAGGGGGCGAGCGUUGUCCGGAGUACUGGGCGUAAAGCGCACGCAGGCGGUCUGUUAAGUUUGGAGUGACAGUUGGUGGCUCAACCACCAAAGUGCUUUGAAAACUGAUAGACUUGAGGGCUUCAGAGGGACACGGAAUUCCGGGUGGAGUGGUGAAAUGCGUAGAGAUCCGGAGGAACACCAAAGGCGAAGGCAGUGUCCUGGGGGAGUACCUGA
rnacentral:rRNA from 1 species